GACGAACGCUGCGGCGUGCUUAACACAUGCAAGUCGAGCGAUGAAGCACCUUCGGGUGUGAAUUAGCGGCGAACGGGUGAGGAACACGUGAGAAAUCUGCCUUCAACACUGGGAUAACUCCGGGAAACCGGGGCUAAUACCGGAUAUGAAACCUGCGGGCAUCCGCGGGUUUGGAAAGUUUUUCGGUUGAAGAUGAUCUCGCGGCCUAUCAGCUUGUUGGUGAGGUAAUGGCUCACCAAGGCGACGACGGGUAGCCGGCCUGAGAGGGCGACCGGCCACACUGGGACUGAGACACGGCCCAGACUCCUACGGGAGGCAGCAGUGGGGAAUAUUGGGCGAUGGAGGAAACUCUGACCCAGCGACGCCGCGUGCGGGAUGAAGGCCUUCGGGUUGUAAACCGCUUUCAGCAGGGAAGAAGCGAAAGUGAC
rnacentral:rRNA from 1 species